CUCAUGUUCAUUUCCACCAGUCCAGUCGUUUUCCUCUCUGCCAGGCAGUGCUCCAGCCUCCAGGCGGCGGCGAGUUUGAGAGUGAGAAGGGAGGAGAGAGGCCCCAACGAAGAUGGUGUGCCCACUCUACCAUUCAUAUUGCGAGAAUGACGACCAGCAGAGCUUUGGCAUAUUCAUCCGCGGCGGCUCUGAAGAUUUAGCAGAACCUUCGCCCGGUUUGCUUUUCGCAUUGUCAGAGUGACAAUGGUCAGAGCUUCGACAUGUAUGUUUGCGAUGCUGACGAAACCUUCAUAGUAAAGUUUCUGCCAUGUUUUUUGUCCUUUUUCCCCUAGUGUUACAAUCAUUUUUCGGUUUGUUUUUUAAUUUUCUUUUACAUGUCUUCGCGAUUGCUUUUUUUUUCUCUAGAUGUUAAAGAUGGUAUGCACAAUUGAAUACCAGUUGUGUAAUACACUCCUAGCUUAUGCUUAUAUUUUUUGUACCCUGUUUGUUUGUUACUAAUCUCUAGUUUCUAGUUUCUAGUUGCUAGUUUUCGACAGUUUUGCCAGAAGUACUUUUGACAGUUUUCCAUAGUUACUAGUUACUGGUUUCAACAGUAUCA